rnacentral:rRNA from 1 species
AUUGAACGCUGGCGGAAUGCUUUACACAUGCAAGUCGAACGGCAGCACGGGGGCAACCCUGGUGGCGAGUGGCGAACGGGUGAGUAAUACAUCGGAACGUGCCCAGUCGUGGGGGAUAACGUAGCGAAAGUUACGCUAAUACCGCAUACGAUCUACGGAUGAAAGCGGGGGACCGUAAGGCCUCGCGCGAUUGGAGCGGCCGAUGUCAGAUUAGGUAGUUGGUGAGGUAAAGGCUCACCAAGCCGACGAUCUGUAGCUGGUCUGAGAGGACGACCAGCCACACUGGGAAUGAGACACGGCCCAGACGCCUACGGGAGGCAGCAGUGGGGAAUUUUGGACAAUGGGCGCAAGCCUGAUCCAGCCAUUCCGCGUGCAGGACGAAGGCCUUCGGGUUGUAAACUGCUUUUGUACGGAACGAAAAGGCUCUGGUUAAUACCUGGGGCUCAUGACGGUACCGUAAGAAUAAGCACCGGCUAACUACGUGCCAGCCGCCGCCGUAA